ensembl:lncRNA
GCGGGGCGCGCGCCACCCGCGGGGCGACCGCGCGGGGCCGGGGCCGGGACGCGGCCGGGUGCACGCCGCCCUGCCCGCCGCUGCCGGGACAAUGGCGGGGUCCUCGGUGGCAUCCUCGGCGGCCCCGGGCUCGGGUCCCCGCGCGGCAGGGCCAGGGCCGGGCGCACGCUUGGGCGCAGGGACUCAGCCUCCACGCGCGAGCGUCCCCACCGGGCCCGCGAUGGCGCGACAUCGCCACCAACUUUCCCGGCUCCCGCGGCCCGGCUCCGCCGCGGGCUCCUUAAGGUGGCACAGGGCUGCCCGGGCUCCGGGGCGCACUCCUUCCCCGCCGCCGCGCCCGCGCGCCAGUCCUCCUUAAGAGCGAGCACGUGGGCAGGGGCCGCGGCCCCGCGACUGCCCCGGGCGUCGGCGGACACGCGCCGCGGCGGCCGUGGGCGAGUCCGUGUGGAUGCUCCCCGCCGGCCCGAGGCGCCUCCAUCCCGCCCGCACACCUUGGCGCCUCCCAGUCUCCGGACCCCAGGGACGCCCACGGCUAGCCGCCUGCGCGCUGGUCCCCCUUAAGAAGCGCUGACUGUACGGCGGCGCCAGAGGGCCAAACUCGAUUAGAUUUCGGGAAACGCGCUCAGGGCCAAGCUGGAAACCUGGGAUCCGCGCGCGGACCACGAAGAGCCGCGUCGCCAACAGCACCAGGUACCCUGUGCCACUCGCUAGAACGACCCCGGCGCACCCGAGGGGCGCCGUACCCGCGGCUUGGGAGGCGUCGGAGCCUCAGGAAGAAGAGGGGUCCCGGGAAGGAACCCGGCUCCGGACCCCAGGGAAGUCCGCGCCGGACCGCCCCCCCCCCCCGCCUCAAGGAGCGCGCGCGAGCCAGGAGGCGAUCGAAGCCCGGCGGAGGACGAGGAAGCUGGCCGGAAGGGCCCCAGGCCGUAGGAAACGAGAAGGGGAGCCGCCCGCCGCGGCACUGCGUGUCCUCAGCCUCCGCCGGCCUCGCGAGGCCGGGUCCUCACCUCGCCCACUCGGAUCCAAGGCCGGGACCGCGAGGGUCGCUGCUGAUCGCGCGCACUGCUUCUGGGCGUGCAGAGCGCCCGCCAGCAUCUAUCCUGUUUGAUUCGUCACUAUUAUUAUAUCUGAUGAUGCGAAGGCUGGAACGCUCAACCCGAAGUCAUUAAUGAGCUAUUUUAUCAACACCGCUGUGGGGAUCUUCAUUUACAUUCGCCCAGGAUCGCGGCGCUCACCUCCCGGCUCUCGUCAACAGCGCGGGUGCGGGACUUCGUCCGUCAGCGCUCUUACAACACCAUGGGCGCACUGUUAAUCGCUUAAUACUUUAUAAAGUGUAAAUAUUUUAUUAUGUUUUUAAGAGAACUAUCGAUUCUAAAUUAUUAAACCCCUGAGAAGGGUUAUUUAAAUAAAGUACGCAGUUAUGUACAAUUAAAUGUACACUGUGGCUAGAGUCUGCACUCUUAAAUCUAUCGACUUCCCUGGUCCGUUUUCGACAGUAAAAAACAUCUACCAUUCUGGGCAAAGGGCGAAAAUUAGUUUACAUUACAUUUUAAAGUAAGUAAAUAAAAUCGCACUUAACAUAGAGGAAAAUGUCAAAUUCGACAAAUCAUUGCCAGAAAUGUAUUUUGAGUGCGUCUAGAGUUAUGUUUAGUAACUCAUUUUAUAAAUUUCUUUCGAUUUUGCAAAGGGAGACAUGUAAGAGG